rnacentral:rRNA from 1 species
UACGAAGGGGGCUAGCGUUGCUCGGAAUCACUGGGCGUAAAGGGUGCGUAGGCGGGUCUUUAAGUCAGGGGUGAAAUCCUGGAGCUCAACUCCAGAACUGCCUUUGAUACUGAGGAUCUUGAGUUCGGGAGAGGUGAGUGGAACUGCGAGUGUAGAGGUGAAAUUCGUAGAUAUUCGCAAGAACACCAGUGGCGAAGGCGGCGCUCUGGGCCGGUACUGACGCUGAGGAGCGAAAGCGUGGGGAGCAAACAGG